rnacentral:lncRNA from 1 species
GAGAAAUUCCCUGGGGUUUAGAUCUUUUUUAAAAGGAUGUGUGUAAAAUUCUACCGAGUUUUUUAAAACUAUGCUUUAUUUCGCCAAAGUGGCGCAUUCGAGGAGAAAUUGCAAGCUCCAUUUUAGAAAACGGUUCCAAACGGUUCGCCCUGUCGUCACUAGAGGGCAGCAGAGGGACUUCUGCGACUUCCGACCCCUGGUUUUUGCAGGGACGCGGAGGGGAGACAACGCAAUCGCUUUAUUUUGGUGGAGGUGACGGAGUUUUUCUCUUCAGCAUGACCAUGUCAAGCCACCAUCGUCUGCCAGAACACUGCCGCUCCUGUUCUGCUUCUGUAAACCCGAGAUCAGUGAUUUUUGCCACAAAGGAUCUGACAGGCUCUUGCAGUCCCGAGACAGGCAGCAGGGCAGAGGCGCUGACCUCAGACCAGGUACACAGGGCCUCCCUUAAGGUGCCAGCCCUCCAGGGGCCAACACAGCAAGGAACCAACAUGGAGAACAACUGAAUCACAUUCACUGGUUAGCAUUAUAAAAAGGAAAAUGUCAGGUAAAAGGGCCG